GGGCAUGUGGUGUAGUUGGUUAUCACGCUCGCUUAGCAUGAUUAUCUCAGCUUGCGAGAGGGGUCCGGUUCGAUCCCGGACAUGUCCA